GCUGGGCGAGGUGGCACACGCCUGUAAUCCCAACAGCUUGGAAGGCUGAGGCAGGAGGAUCACAAGUUCAAAGCCAGCCUCAU
rnacentral:sRNA from 1 species